AUGGACGCGGUGGAGUCCUCCUCGCCCUACUCACCGCCCUCGCUGCGCCACAAGCUGCGGACCACCGUCUGCGGAUGCUUCGGCUCCCCGUCGUCCCCGGGCAGCGGCGGCAGGGCCAGGUGGAGGCGGCGAGUCGCGGCCGCGGGGGAUUUCCGGUACGACCCGCUCAGCUACGCGCUCAACUUCGACGACGGCGGCGGCGACGACGGCGACGCCGACGCGGAGGACGCCGCCUUCCGGCACAGAAACUUCAGCUCCCGCCUGCCGCCCUCGCCGGUGCCGGCCUCCCGAGCCGUCGCAAUAGCCUGA
rnacentral:rRNA from 1 species